CAGUCGCCACGGUAAAACAGAGGGUGCGAGCGUUAAUCGGAUUUACUGGGCGUAAAGCGUGCGUAGGCGGCUUCUUAAGUCGGAUGUGAAAUCCCUGAGCUUAACUUAGGAAUUGCAUUCGAUACUGGGAAGCUAGAGUAUGGGAGAGGAUGGUAGAAUUCCAGGUGUAGCGGUGAAAUGCGUAGAGAUCUGGAGGAAUACCGAUGGCGAAGGCAGCCAUCUGGCCUAACACUGACGCUGAGGUACGAAAGCAUGGGGAGCAAACAGGAUUAGAUACCCCUGUAGUCCCUGUCUCUUAUAC
rnacentral:rRNA from 1 species